rnacentral:lncRNA from 1 species
AAGCAUCUCCUUCCAGUAUUUAGAUCUCCUACCUCACAUCCGUGGCUUGUUUUUCGUGUACACUAGCAGAUUUUAAUCCUUAACCGGUUUUACAUGCUAAAAAGAAAUGAACACAAACGAAUCAACACCUAGACAUAAAAAAUUUAAGAACUAUAUUUAAAUUCAAAUAGAUAUUGGUAAUAAAGACCAAGAAUUUAAGAAAGCAUAAGAUGAAUUGAAGGAAUAAAAAAACCAGAGAAAUUCAAAUAGUCAGUCCCAGUUAAAGACAAAAAUAUGUGUGGAUGCAAAGAAGAUCGAUAAUCAUGCAACACAAAUUAGGCAAGAACAUUGUUCCUUUGCACGAACCAAGUUCAAGUUCAAAAUUCAUUUGUCAAUGAAAGAAACUAAUAAAGUAUAUCUGACAGACACAUCAUAUAUUACAAACUUCAAUAAUCAACAAGAACUAUAUUCAAAUUUAUAUUUUUUAAUCCUCAACUGGAAUCAUGUUGAAAACGAACUAACGCAAGCACAUAAACGGUUACAUAUGAUAGAUCUAACAUAAAAUAAAUAACUACAUCCAAACUCAAGUAGACAUUUGUCAUGAAAGAAAGACAAAAAAUGUAGGAUAACAAAACCUAACGCAUCAAGGAUCUCCAUCCAGUAUUUAGAUAUCCUACCACACAAAGAAAUCAACACCUACACAUACAAAUUUUAAGAACAAUAUUUAAAUUCAAAUAGAUAUCAAUAAUAAAAACCAAGAAUUUAAAAAAGGAUAAGAUAAAUUAAUGAAUUCAAAAACCGGUGGAGCCUUAGUUGCUCAAAACACGCACGAUGAGGUAGAAGAUUCAACCCUUAGGCCUUAUAUAACAUACUCCAUGAUAUGGUGCAGGGCAUUAAGUGAAAAUAAUUCAAACAUCGAACACAAUUCAAUCCUUGGAGAUCAAGUAGAGAGAAAUUAAACAAUAGAGAGGAAACUCAUCAAGAAAUUAGGAUAUCCUGAGCUGCAGUCGUUUUAAACUCUUUUAGAGUUUAGGGUUUCAAAUAUCAAGUAGAAAAAAUUCAAUCAUCGAACACCAUUUAAUCCUUGGAGAUCAAGUAGAGAGAAAUUAGGGAAACAAAACAUAAUACUUCACAUCAUGUCCUACACUACACCACACAUCCAUUGCGUGCUUUCCCUGUACAGCCCAAAAAUUCAAGAAACGAAUUAGCUGUACAGCCAAAAAUUCAUGAAAACGAAAUAACCUCUUAAUAAAAAGAAGUAUAGAAAAAUGAUAAAAAUGAAGAUGCAGAUGCAGAUAAAGACUAAAAAAGACUUGGACAGUUACACAACCAAACACCACUGCAGACAAACACCAAUAAACAAAUCAUAAUCCAAUCCUUAUUUUCGGUGAUCAAUACCAGAUAAAUUAAAUAAUAGAAAGGAGACUAAAACAAGACUUGGAUCAAUUGGCCUUUCUAAACUAUUAUGUUUUUCAUUUCAUCGAUAGACAAAACAAAUCUCAAAACCAAGUCACCAGCAGAAAAGGGAUAAAGGAAUUUGAUCAAAAGAUUCAAAACUUGCCAUCAUCACAAAGAAUCACAUUCGGCGUAAAUGAAUCACAAUCCAAUAAAAGCACAUUAAUCACUUACAAAUAAUUUUUCUAUCCCACGACGCAAACAUCAUGUAAUUCUACAAAACCUUAUAGAGAAUCACAACAAUAACCGAAGCAAUACUAACAAAACUGAUCUUGGAUAUAUAUGUAAUACUAACCAAUGACUAAAUCUAAUAACCCAGCAACCAGAAACUAAAUCUAAUAACCCAGCAACCAGAAACACAGUGUUAGGGUACAAUCGAGAUGGAUUGAAAACGAAAGGAAAUGCAAAACUUACGAUGUUAGGGCACAAUCAAGAACACGGUCGUACUCCGGUCGCAAUGCUUGAAUGCUCAACAGAGAGAGUACUUCGGUCGCAAUGCUUGAAUGCUCAACAGAGAGAGUACUCCGGUCGCAAUGUGAGAAUGUUGUUGAUGCUGAGGAAAAGUGGAGUGAAGUGAGUAUUGCAUGGAGAGAAUUGCUUCAGAAUUGAAAAAUGAAAGAAGAAAAAGAAAAGAAGGGAUUAAAGUAAAGCAAAAAUAAAAAUUAAUUAUUUGUGUGUAAUUUGCAUGGGCUUAACCUUCUUAUUAUUUAAAUUUAAUUUUAAAACUUUUAACGUGGGCUUAACCUUCAAAUAUUUAAAUUUUAAUUAUUUUUAUAAUUUUAGUAGCUGCCAUUUCAACAACGCAACCAUUAUUAUUAUUUUUUUUUUGAAGUUUACGUGAGAAUAACACACGCUUUCCUCACACCUUAUUUAAUUUAUUUUAGGUUUAAUGGAUACUAUAUAGUGUCCACUUAUGGCCUUCAAUAUUUGUUUGCAGCUAAAUUAAGAUUUCUUUGUAAUGAAAUAACUUUUUUUUUACCACCAAAAGGAAUUUAGAAAAAACGAGAAAUUGAACAAUAAGAUGAACGAUGUGAUAAAGACCAAAUAAAAAUAUAUUAAGAAUAAAAUCAUUUUAGUGUUACUUAUAAAAGAAUAGUACACAUCAGAUUUCUCUGGUUACUGAUAAUAGAAUUUAUAUAAUAAAUAAAUUAUUCAUACGAGAUUACAUAAAACUAACUCAAAUUUAACCAUAGAUUGAUGACAGCUUCAUAUAUUGGAGUUUUUUUACGUGAAUUUUUUAUUAUUAUUAAGACUCUUAGGACCAAUCAAACAAUAGAACACAGUUUGAAGAGUCUUAUCAUGUACGCAACGAAGUACCAAAUAAAAUUUUGAGAUGUGUUACAACUAUACCUGGUAAAAGUGGGAUAGUCCAACCUCAUUAAACUCUUCAAGAAAAAAAUGUGAUCAUAUAGACUACUCCAUAAUUUCAACAAACACCAAUUUUCAGGUUUAGUUCCAUUCUAUAUUAUAACAUUUCAUUUUCACUUAGAAAAAAUAAAUUCACCUCCACACUUACAACUUUAUCUACUUAAACCAAUUUAAUCCAACUACGUGUUAAGAAUAUAAGUAUAAAUUUGAGUCUCAUUUAAUAAAUAUAAGAAGUUGAAUAACAAAUAACUAUGAAUAAAUAUAAAAAGUUGAAUAACAAAUAACUAAUCUUAAGUUUAGCACAAAACACAAUUAGUUCAACUAAAAACUUACAAAAAAUAUUGGAAGCAUCAAUGGAGCUUAUUGCAAUAAAAAAAAAUCUAAACAAAACAUUGUUUUGUUAAAAUGUGCAUCUAUUAGUUAAUAAGUUUAUUAUAAAACUUGUAUUGAUUUUCAUUUUCACUCAAAUUAUUUUAUUUUUUUAUAUCUUUAAUCAUGUAACGACAUGUUAUAUUCUUUUGUAGGAUAUCAUAUGAACCCGAGGGAUAAUUAAGACAAAGGUUUGGAUUUCUAAAAAUAAUAUUAAUAAUGCAAAUAAUAUUAAUAAUCUAAAUAAUAUUUAUAAAAAAAUUAUACUAGACAUUACAAACAUCUCACUUAUAUUGACAUUUCAAAUUUCAACCACCUCUAUUGAAAAAAAAAAUUAUUAAACAAGUAAAAAAAAAUACAAACAAGUACGAGAAAUUAAAACAAAAUCCAUACUAACCAUAAAAUACAUCAAAACUAAACAAGAGAAACAUAGUUAAUUUAUACCUAUUAUGGAAAAUGUUCAAGAAUAUAUUAAAAUAAUAUAUUAAAAUACAGUCUAUUAUACCAAAUAAAGUCUUACCUAUAAAGAAAGUCUAAAUUGACAGAUUUAUCAUUACCCCUCUUAAAAUAUGAAAGACAUACUUUUACAAUAAAUAAGACAUUUAUUUCAUUUAUUCUUAAUAAAUCAUCAAGUCACAUGAGUCAUAGAAGGAAAAGCAAAGCAAACUAAUAUGAUUCACACUCUUACCAUAAUAAAUUAUAAACCAAUGUAAAUAACAUUUAAUGAGGGAUAAAUUUUUUCAAUAAAUAAUAAUAUUUUUUAAUUUAUUUUUAGUUAUUUGUGAAUCUCAUUUCGAUUUGAUAUUUAAUUUGAGUGUCAUAUUGUCAUUAACCAAUAUUUAAUUGUUUUUUCUCUUAUUCUAUUAUUGUGUCAUUCCAUUUGGAGCAAUAGAGGGGCUAGUUUAGUGUAUGUGUUGGCAUUUGAUUUGUUCCUUUUCGGUAUGUUCGUACAAGGUAAAAUCGUAAAAAGGAAAAAUUAGAAAACUGUCUUGUUAGAGUAUUGUGUUAGCAUAAUAUUGAUCUCAAAAUAAGGUUAUUUUGUAUGUUAUUGUUUUAUAAAUCUCAAAACAAAUUUUGCAGGUUCAAGAAAAAGCUUUGGAAUAUGGAAAUUAAAUAUAAAUAUUUAUCAAAGAAUAGAAAAAUACUUCAAGUUAGCAUGUUCCUCAAUUGGAAUAUCGAUCUCAAAAUAAGUUUAUUUUUGUACUUCACUAUUUUAUAAAUCUCAAAAAAAAAUUGCAGGUUCAAGAAAAAGCUUCGGAAUAACAAAAUUAAAUUUAAAUAUUUAUCAAAGGAUAAAAAAAAAAUUAAAAAAAAAAUACUACGAUCAAGUUCAUUUUCUUGAAAACUUUACGAGCUCUAAAAUAAAUAAAAAAUACAACUAAUUAUUCAGAAAUUUAUGAACUUGGAAAUUUUUAAUUUUCAUUAAGAAUAAUUAUUUUUUAUGAUAUGUUAUUUGCAAUUAAUUAAUCUAGUAAAAAAUUACAAUCAAAUAACGAGACUAUUGAUAAAUUAAAAGGUAUUCGUUUAUUUUAUUUCUGUAAAUUAUAGGAAAAAUGAAUUUGAAAAUGCAUUGUCUUCUGCUAAAGAAAUUGCUUUUGAAAUAGAUACAGAGUAUAAGUUAUGUGAAAAACAUGGUAGAUCUGUUGAUAAUAUAAGUUAUGUGAAAAACAUGGUAGAUGUGUUGAUAAUGAAAUUCUAAAAUCUCCUAAAAAAUCAUUUAGAUUUUAUGACUUUCUAUACAUUCAAAGAAAACAAUUAACUCCAAAGUUGAUUUAAGAAUUCAAAAUAUAAGAAAAUAUGAAAAAUAUUUGAAGAAUAAUUUCGUGAUAUUGAUGGAUUAUAUUUAUUUUCAAAAUUUAAUAUCUUAAAAGAAAUGACAGAAUUGAAAAAUAAUAACUAAUUGACCUUCUAAAUCAUAUAAAAUAAAUAAAUUAUUUUCCAAAUAUAUAUAUAAGAGAGGGAUUACAGGUAAUAAAAUAAUAUAAAUAUUCUAGUACUACCAAUAUAAUCAAGAAAUUAAGGUGAAUGAGAAUUUAUAUUUUUUUUCUCCAAUCCAUAAAGAAAUGUUUUAAAAAAAAUCAUUAUAAAAGAUCGAUCUAUUAUAAAGUGGAUUUUAAGCUUAACUCAAUCCCAUAAAACUGGUUUAAUCCCAUAAAACUGGUUUAUAGGGUUGAGGAUUGCACCCACUUAUAUACGAUGAAAGACUCUAAUCUCUAGUCGAUGUAGAUUCCAACAUCAACCUCAAAUAAUAUUUCUUGUAAUUAAGAUCAAAACAGUAAACGAUUACAAUAUCGAUUGAUUUCGUUGAAAUGAUUUUUUUAAAACUAAAAGUUACUUAAUAUUAUCAACGAAACCCGAGGCUCACCUCUCCUUUGACCAUGUUAAUUCACAAUCUCUUUCACUAUGCCAUUAAAUGAGUUUGGAACAAGUUUUGUCUUUCUCACCGUCGUCAUGCUUCCCAAGGACCCAUUCACUUAACUCUUCGUGCGUUCCAAUGCAAACAAGUCAGGGUUUUGAUUUGCUUCCUACGAAUCCAAAAUUAGUAACUACAGAAUGUUGUUUGUUGUUGACUCUACAAAUUUAGGGUGGGAAAGAAAAGUUUAUAUCAUACUACUCCACUUCAUAUGCUACUUCAUUUGAUUUUUUUAUUGGUUGUUCUUUGAUGAAGUUUUUCAUUGCUGUUGAUGUUCUUGGUGGUUCUUUGGUCAAGGUGUCUAUUGCUACACGGUGUGUGGGUGAAUUUGUUGGUGACUAGAUUUUUUUGUUAUCAUGGGCUGGUGCAUAGUUGUACCUUUUUUUUUUCAUUGAAAAUUUAAUUUGUAUGGGUGAAAUCUAAACUAUAAAGAUGAUGAAAUUUGCUAAUUCUAGAAUACGUUGUGAUUUUGCAACUAUUUUAUUUUACUUCUACUAUGUGUGAAUUUAGUAAGGUUGAAACCAUCUUGAAAUCUUUUUUAUAUUUAUUUAAACUAUGAUUUGACUCUCGCUAUUUGUUUAUAUUUUAAUAUUAAUUAGGACUUAAUCCUCUUUAAGUUAGAGUAUGUUAAGGUUGCGACCUCUCUAGGUUAGAGUAAGCAAGGUCUUGAUCCUCUCUCUAAUUUAGAGUUAAAGUUUUCCAAUUUCCAAUAAACAACUCUUUUACGUUGUUAAGCCCACUCUAUUAACGAGAGUCCAAUCUACAUUAUUAGUUUCCACUUAGAGAGGACUUAUGAUUGUUAUAGGUUGACGUAAAUAAAAAAGUCAUUUUCAAUCCGUUCACGGUGUAUGGAACACUAUAUGUCCACAUUAAUUAUAAUGUAACGACUUCUUUUUCAAUUUUAGUCCAUCUUUGACUCAUGCUAUAGACAUUUUUCUUGUAAUUUGAUAACUUUGGAUAUUAGAAUGAGAAAUUUUUCUCGGUCAUCAUCCACUGAAUUUGAGUGUUGGAGUGACUAAUAACUCAAUUAAGGGAAACUUCAAAAUAUUAAUUCAUAAAUCACAUUUAUUAUAGAUAUAAAUGUAAAUUUGAGAAUAGGGAAUUAUGAUUGUAUUAAAAAAUAAAUAUUAUUUGUGUGUUUUUAUAACAUGAUUGAUAAAACUUACGUAACCAUUUAAAAUUAAAGCGAAAUAGGAUUAAUUGAGAAAUGUAUCGAUUAGCACAUGUAUGUUCUUUUCAACGGCUUUGGUGACCUAAUUAGAAAACGUCAAACUAUACUGGCAACCUAACUGGAAAACUUCAAACUAUACAGCCAUUCCAUUACUUGUGGAGUAAGGCAAAAAUGCCUUUGUGUUUACUUUUCUAGUAUACGUGCAAGUGUACAGGUCCACUAAUUUCGCAUAUGGUUCUUUCAUUGGCUUUUUAUUGAGUAUAGAUAUGAAAUAUAUUUGGUCCACGUCAAAAAGAAAAAGAAUUGAAAGCGAAACCAAAAAGCGAAAAAAAAAGUAGAAUUAGAAAAUUAAAUAAAUGUUGAAGUUAUUUGAUAAAAUAUAAAUAAUUAUGUUUUCUAUUUCAUUUCUCCUAUUGCAUCAUAUCACGUGACCUAUUUAUAUUCAUAUUGAUUUACUAGGAUUAAUAGUGUUGGAAAGGAAAUAUCAAUUUUGUUUCUUCUACAACUUAACAAUUAACUUAAAUGCUUGUUUGGUAUUGUUAUAAAUCUGAGACUUAGACUGAAAAGUGAAUUGUGAACUUAUGUUUAUUAUUAGAUUAAAAAGUGAGUUGUGAACUUAGGUUUAUUAUUAUAAAUUAUUUAUACUUAUUUUAUUUGUGUAGUAAGUUACGUGUGUUUUUAUUAGUUGAAUGGUGUUGGUUAUUAAUUAUGAUUUCUAUUAUUAAUACUGAUUUCACCGUUAUACCGUUAUUGUUUCAUUAAUGGUUAGUUUACUUAUUUCCUUCCAUUAGUUUCCUACAAUUGGUAUCAAGAGCUAGUCUGUUAUCAUGAACUCUACCCAAUUACUAGUCCUAUGGAAAAAAUUACAAUCAGUGGUGUGUGCAAAUGAGAGUUUUUUUUAUUAUUUAUUAUCAUGAGUUAUGGGAUGUCGUUGAGGGUGGAGUGGUUGCAUUAGCUGUUAAUGCAAUUGAGGCGCAACGAGUAGCGCAUCAUGAUGACAAUAAGGCUUUGUAUCUCAUCCAUAGGGAUGAAUGACAAGACGUUUGAGAAAAUAUAAGGAGCAACAACUGCAAGUGAUGCUUGAAUCAUUUUGUCAACCAAUUAUAAAGGGUGAUGACAAGAUCAAUAGGGUGCGUCUUCAAACCCUAAGACGCCAAUAUGAACUGUUGCAGAUGGAAACCACAUAGAUUAUUGAUGUCUAUAUAAAUAAAGUUCUUGCCUUGACAAAUCAGAUGAAAAGCAAUGGUGAAACACAUUCGGAGCAGGCAAAGGUGGAGAAGAUUUUGAGGUCUUUAACUCCCAGAUUUGAACAUGUUGUUGCCGCAAUUGAAGAGGCCAAUGACAUUUAAAAAAUGACAGUAGGGUUAUUGUCUGGUUACCUACCAGCGCAUGAGCAGCGAAUGAAUGACAAUAAUAUUGAAAAACCAAUUGAACAGGCUUUACAAGCACAAGACUCAAUUGGUAGCUCUUAUCAUAAACACGGUAGUUCACGAGGCAGAGGACGGGGACAUGGUGGUAGCUAUUCCAGCAAAGGUCGUGGUGGCUAGAAUCAUGGAGGCGCUGAGCAAAAUAACAUUGGUUUCAAUCACAUUCCAAGUUCAAAUAACUCUUGACGUGGAGAACGUGAUCGCGGAGGAUGAGGAGGCAUUUAUAAUAAAUCAAAUGUGGAGUGUUAUAACUGUCAUAAACGCAACCAUUAAGCAAAUGAGUGCAGAUCAAAAAGUGAUAAUCAUGCUGCCAAUUGUGCUCAAGAAGACAGUAAUCACGUACAAGAUGAAGAGGAUCAUGCAUAACUAAUGACAGCCACAUCAAAUGAAACUCCAAACAAUCAGACUUGGUAUUUGGAUACAGGUUGCACAAAUCAUAUGUGUGGUCAAAAGGAGUUGUUUGCAUAUUUGGAUGACUCAUUUUGCACAAAAGUGAAAUUCGGUGAUGGCAGGGUCGUUCCGGUGACUGGAAAAGGGCGAAUUCUUAUCACAUUGAAGAAUGGUGAUCACAGGUACAUAUAUGAUGUUGUCUAUGUACCUGAUAUGAAAAGUAAUUUGUUGAGUAUGUGACAACUGGCUGAGAAGGGUUAUGUGAUGUACAUAGUUGAAAAUAAAUUCUCAAUUUUUGAUAAAAAAUGUAGUUUGAUUCUUAAAACCUUUUUAUCAAAAAACCGUAUGUUUCCAGUAGAUAUUCAUAUGGGUGACUUCAAGUGCUUGAAUGCAAUAGUGAAUAAUGAAUCGUGGUUAUGGCAUUUACGCUUUGGGCACUUAAAUUUUCAGAGUUUGGAAAAUCUCUCCAAACGAAAUUUAGUGAAUAGUUUACCCCAUAUUUAUCACCCUGAUCAAUUGUGUGAGACUUGCAUUUUUGGAAAGAAUCACAGGAUACCAUUUGUUAAGGAGCCUUGGCGUGCAAAAUUUCCUUUGGAGCUUGUUCAUAUAGAUGUUUGUGGCUCAAUGAACAUAUCAUCAGUUGGAGGUAAUAAGUAUUUUUUAACCUUUAUUGAUGAUUUUUCAAGGAAAACCUGGAGUUAUCUAUUGAAAAGCAAGGAUGAGGUAUUCCACUGCUUUAAAAUAUCAUAUUUAAAGCAUUUGUUGAAAGACAGAGUGGCAGACAAAUUAAGAUGAUGCGUAGUGAUGGAGGGGGUGAGUACAAGUCUAAUGAGUUCAAGAGGCACUGUGAAGAACUUGGAUUGCAACAUAACAUAACAUGUCUCUACACACCUUAACACAAUGGAGUUGUCGAGAGAAAGAAUAGAACAAUCAUGGACAUGGCGUGGAGCAUGCAUAAAGCGAAAGGUAUGCCAAAUUAUUUUUGGGCUGAGGUCGUAACAUGUGCGGUAUAUUUGAUAAAUAGAUCACCCACUCGGAGUGUUCCUAACACAACUCCGAUUGAGGCAUGGAGCGGAUUCAAACCCAAUGUGCAACACUUGAAGGUAUUUGGGUCUAUUACUUAUGCUCAUGUCCCCAAAGCAGCAAGAUCGAAGUUGGAUGAUAAGGCAGAGAAGACCAUUUUCAUUGGAUAUAAGCAUGGGGGAUACAAAUUGUACAAUCCAAUGACAAAGAAGGUGAUUGUUAGUUGUGAUGUUACAUUUGUCGAAGAUGAGGAAUGGCAAUGGAAUGCAACAGUUGAAAUUGAUUAAAAAAAAACGAUAUAUUUACGUUUUGAACGAUGAUGUGGAAGAUGGAGUCACUCUUGAAGCACCUGCAGUUCAACCAGAAGCUGCAAUUCAACCUGAAGUUGCAAAUCCAAUUGCAACUAUGAUGGAGCGACCAAGAAGGCAGCAACGACAACCUGUACACCUUCAAGAUUGGCGAAGUAAAUCUUGAUGAUGAAGUUGAUGACAAUGGAGAUUUGGUUCACUUUGUUUUUCUUGCAGAUUCAGAACCCAUGAGACUUGCAGAUGUCAUUCAACACCCCAAAUGGCAGAAGGCUAUGAAUGAAGAAUUGAUGGCGAUUGAGAAAAACAAUAUCAUGACUCAAAUUUGUUUUAAUCCAGAUAUUCCAAUUAAGAUUUAUGUUGACAAUGUCUCUGCAAUUAAUCUUGCAGAGAAUCCAGUUUUUCAUCAAAUAAGUAGUCACAUUGAUAUUCGAUAUCACUUCCUGCGAGACCAAGUUAAGAAGAACAUGAUCAAAUUGGAAUACUACAGAUCAGAAGAUCAGAUUGCAAAUAUUUUCACUAAGCCAUUGAAGAUCAAUGCUUUCAUCAAGUUAAGAAAUCUGUUGGGUAGGAAGGUUGCUCCAAAUCAGAAUUAAGGGAGGAUGUUGGUUAUUAAUUCUGAUUUUAUUAUUAUUAAUUCUGAUUUUAUUAUGCUUAAACUAUUUUACCGUUAUUAUUGCAUUAAUGGUCAGUUAGUAUUCCUAUUUUAUAACUUCCAGUAUUUGUAAUUUUAUUAUAUAUAUUAUAUAUAUUAUUGAGUAAAUCAAAAUAUAUGAUACCAGCUCAACAGUUUUGCAAUCUUGUGCAAUUACCUUCAAUCAGUUUCUACAACAUUUUGCCUUCUCUUAUUUCCUUCAAUUAGUUCCUACAAAUGAGAAUAUAAUUAAUAUAAUUAUUUAAUAAGAAACUUAUAUACCACCUCAAGUUAUUUUGGAGUCAAAAUAUUAUAGGAAUGGUUAUCAAUGAAUGAUUUACUAAAAGUGGUAAAUUUUCUUGAGGUUUUAUGAAUGUGAAACCUAAAUAUGUAAAUUUUGAUAGUCAAAAGACUAAUCCCUUUAAGAAUUAAUAUAUUUCAAUAAAAGUGAUUGGAUAUGGUUUUAGUUUGGAGUCAACAACUUAAAGAGACUUGUGUCAAUGUGUAAUCUAUUCUAAUCCACAUAGGUUGAACUCCUAUUAAGGAUACAUAAAUUUUUAAUCUGAUCAACAAGCUAAAGAGAUUGUAUUAAAAAUAUUUCAGUAGUCUAACAGUGGUUGCGAAUUCACGUGAUAUGUGUAGCUCUCAAAGUAAAUAACUUGUUUUCCAAGCUAUCCAAAGAGAUCAAUAUACUUGUCUCCCAAGAGAUUUAUUACUACCCAUGUCAUUUAGACACAAAUAUUUAUGAUAUUGGUAAAAUUAAAAAAAAAUAACUUUACCUACAAAUAGUUAAAAUAUUUGAAAUAAGUGAAGUAAAUGAAUAAUAUAAAUUUAUUCAGAGAUUAUUUAUUAUGAUAAACCUAAUUUAUUUUAAAAGAAUAUAUGACUAAUACAUUUUUUACUUACUCAAAUAUAGUUUAAUUUAUUUUAAAAAAAAUCCAAAAGCUAAAACUUUAGAACAUAAUAUUUUAAAUGUUUUACUUUACACGUGUAAUCCUUAACUAUUUAAAUGUUAUACAAUUAUUAUAGAUAUAAUAACUAUUUUAAAGAAAAUAUUUUAUUUAUUUUAUACAUUUUUCUUACAACAACAAAAUAAAAACCAUAGAUAAAUCCCACUCUUUUAGUGUUUUUUUUUUCUUUCUCUUUUCUCAAUUUGCCAAUUUGCCGUCAUUGUUGAAGAUCUCACCCACUAAUCAAAGUCAUAUUUGAUGUGAAUGUUCUCUUCAAUUCAAAGUUUAUCUUAAUAUUAUGCUAAACUUAGACUUAGUCUAAACCUUACUGACUUGAUUUCAACUUUUCUUUAUAUUUCUUCUUUUUAUACAUAACUUUUCAAACUUUUAAUCUUACACAAAAAGCAUGUCAUUCUUCUCUGACAACAUUUUAUUUCAAUUUUUCUUGAUGGUGUGCUUCAUUUGAAAUUUCAUUUUACUUUAUAUUUCAAUUUUGCUCAUAAGUUAUGAUUGGAGUUUAUUCUAAUUUUUUCCAGUGUCUUAAUAUUUUUCCAUAGUGUGUUUGAUUUUUUAAUUUUCUAUGCAAAAAUUAGUGUUAAUAAUUGUGUCUAACUUUUCUUGUACUCUGUCCUUUAGUUUGAAUGCUUCAUCCUCUGUUCUGCUUCUAAUUUUUCUUAUAUUUUAUCCUGUGUUUUGAAUGCUUAAACUUUUACACUUGUUUUAACCUGUUUUGCUAUUAAUUGUUGUUUACUUGUUGUGAUAUAAGGUUUGCGUGAUUAGUUAGUUGAUGGCAUACAAGUAAUGAAGAACUUUUAAGUAACACAGUUAGUUAAUACUCAAUUAUUAAAAUAUUGCAAGACAUUUCUUAAAAGUGUUUUAUGUUUUAUGUAAUUGUAUUUACCUAUAAUGAAGUUGAUAGCGAAAGAAAUAUUUAAUACUUUUUUUUUCUUUUUUUUUUCUUUUGGAAGGAAUCGAGGGAUACAAACUAUAUCUUCAUAUAUGGAAAAUUAAUUUAGUUAUAUCAGUUGCUAAGUGAAGAUCAAGAUCAUUUGUUUAUUAGUGUGUACGUAUUGAUGUGUUUUGGGAUUAUUAAAAUUUGACGUGUUUGAUAAAGAGUGAUUUAUUCAUAAGUAAACUAUGUUUUGGGAUUAUUAAAUUACGUAUUGAUACUUUUAUUUUCGUGAGGGGAAUGCAUGUGCUGAUAAGUUGACUAAUUUAGGGUUCAUUCAUAGAUAAUCAUUUUAUUGGUAUAAUAGACUUCUAUCUAGUAUGUUCUUAGAAUUCUUUAUGAAUAGGUAUAGUCUACCUAUGUAUCGUUUUUGUUAACAUGUGAGUUUUGGUCUAAUCCUCCCAUAUUUUGGUAUUUUUUUUCUUUUUUUUAAUAAUAUGUUUUUCAUGUGAUGGCAGAUGAUUGUUGUUACUUGAGGUGUCAGCCUAGCUGAGAUGUCAAGUUGCAUAAUGAUGUCUAACAUGGAAAAUUUUAUAAAAAAUAAAAAAACAAAAAAAAACUAUGGUUUUUGUUAUUGAGAAAUUGUUUUUAAGAAAGUGUUGAUUACAAAUUACUAUUUUUUUUAAAAAAAAAUUGUUUUGAACAUCGUAACAUCUUUUUAAUGAAAAAUAUUUAUUGCAUAUAGGGGCUUUUAACAAGUUUGGAAUUGAGUGGAAAUUGGUGUUGGUUUAUGUUGCAAGUUGAUGGUUGAAUCAUAUUCAUAGAUAGAGUUGGUACUUUUUAAUAAUGUAAUUUAGUAUAUUAUUGAUAUUUUAAAAUGAUAAAGAGUGUGUGUAUAAUCUCAAUAAUAUAUGAUUUAAAUGUAUUAAAAAUUGAACUUUAAACAUAAAUCAACUUUAAAAAAUCGACUCAUAAGUUAAGGUUUGCACUUACUUAUAUAUUAUGAAAUGUUUUUAUCUUUGGUCGAUGUAGGAUUUUCAACAUUUCCCUUCACGUCAAGAUCUAUCAAUUCGUGUGUGAAACUAUAUAUUUAUAGGUGGUCAGAUAGCAACCGACCUUAUAAGUCUAACAAACUCUCAUUAGGAUAAACUGUAAAUGACUCUAAUACCAUAUUAAGAAGUGAAUUUUAAGCUUAAUUCAAUUUUAUAAAAUCAAUUCAUAAGGUAAUAUUUACACUCACUUAUAUAAUAUGAAAUGUUUUUAUUUCUAGUCGAUCUGAAAUCUCGAACAAAAUGUGAAAAUAUUCAAUUUUACAAGUAUGAUUAUUAUAAUUAUUAAAUAGGAGAGAUAUGAUUAUUAAGAUCUCAUUACUUGUAUUAUAAAAAAAACCCACGAACUAAAUUUUGUAUUGAUAAAAACUUGAGGAUUGUGGUUGAAAAGGCAGAACAAUUGUAAGAAUUAUCUUUUCAAGCAUAAUACAAAGUAUUUCUUUGUAAUUGAUAAAAAUUUAAACUGACACAUCAAAUAUUUAAAUUAUAUUAUUGAAAAUGGGUUCAUAGAUGAUUUAAAGAAGUAUAUGGUACAAGUUGAAAAUUUAAGAGGUUUUAAAGCAAUAAUAAUCAUAAAAUUUGGAGGAAUGACGUCCAUUCAAAAGUGAUAGGAUGAAAAAAGAAAGACAUGUAUGUUGUUUUAAUAGACUUCCACCAACUAAAUAUUUAAAUAUCUCAUCUCAAAAUUCUAUAACAGAGAAUAAGAUUAACAAUUUAGAAAAGAUUUUUAAAAAUCUUUUAUCUUUUCUUUAGAAAACAUUUUUAAAAAUCUUUUAUCUUUUCUUUAGAAAACAUUUUUAAAAAUCUUUUAUCUUUUCUUUAAACAUGAUGAGUGGUAAUUGUUCUUGCCAACAAUGUGGAAUCACAUCUUCAAGGUAGUCUCCGAACAAUCUUUCGGUAUUGUAGUCCUUGAGUGCUUGAAGAUCACCAAGUGAUGAGGGGAGCUCCACUCGUUGACAAGACUUCGACAAUCAAAUCAGUGAGAACAUUAAAUAUUUCAAUGUAGUAUGUAUUGCAUAGAAUAAUACUUGUCUUUGUUUGGGGACUCAUGACCCUUAUAUAGGACUCGUAGAUCCUUUUUUAGGAGUUUGUAAUCAGACACUUCCUUUGAACUUUUAGUUACACGAUUCGAUUUGUUGGACUCGAUCCGACUGACCCGAAAACGUCUAUUGAGUCCGAUCCAUUGGACCGAAAACACCCGAUCCACAUUAUCGGGUUCUACCCCGAUCUUGACUGAACGAUACAGUAAUAUACAAAUUGUAAAUAAAAAAUAAAAAAUAUAGUAAUUACAUUUAAUCAUCUAUAAAAAAAUUUAAUACUAAUAUGAUAUUUUAAAAAGAUAUUUUUUUCGGAAACACUUGAUGAUGAUGGAAGGAUUGAAAUUAUUCUAAUAGUAAUGUUUAAACACAGUAAAAAAAAGUCAAGUGAUAUGAUAAUGAUUGAAAAUUUACUUUUAAAUACAAUUAUCAUUUUUUACUAUAAGAUCAAUUUUUUUAAUGUGAUUACAUAUAUUUUAUAAAUGAUGUGGAUUUUUAUGGCCUGUACACAUCAUUAAUGAGUGAGAUAAUAUGUUUAAUCAUUUGCCAUUUAAUUUUUAGUACUUUCAAUGAACAAAUGAGAUUCAUAUGUAAGAAAUUUAGCAUCGAUUAUGACUCAUAGGACACAAAAUGUAUUUCAUUGAGUUGAGUGUGGUAUUUCAAUACCUAAUUAAUAUUUUUUUUGUCAUUAGUAAUUUGGUAUUGAUUUAAAAUCGAAAUUGUUGUUGACUAUUAAGAUUUAUUUGCUUUUGUAACUAUUAUGUUUUCCUCUUAUAAAUUUUGUUUAUAUUUUAGAUUAUAAAGUUGUUGUAAAACAUUGCAAAAACUUUUCUUAGUGGUUUUUAUCUAGUACAAUCAUUUAUAUUUUAGUGGACUUUUAUUGAAUUGAAUACACCCUACUCCAAUAGCCUAUGACGAGUCACACAAAUUUCAUUUGACAACAAAGAAUCUAUAGGGACAAAAAGUGGAACUUAUAGAGAAUCUUUAAAUUCAAAUUGAUAUUUUGAAUAAGUGAACAAAAAGUUAAACCCAUUUAUUAUAGCCAUUGUUUCCAAAAAUAUUUAAUAGUGAAUAUUUGAGCAAAUAAUGUAGAAUGUAUUAUAGCUAAAGACAAACAUCAUAUUAUUGUUUGGUACACGGAAAAUGUUAUAUUAUCACAAUUAUCGGUAUAUAUUAAUAAAUUUAUUCUCAAAAUUUUAACUAAUAAAUUUAUUCCACCAUUUUAUACAUGGACUAUAAUGAUAGAUUGUUAAAUGCCCUUAAAAUUUUACAUCACACUUUAUAUAGUAAAAAUAUUAUCAUGAUAUCUAUUACAAUGAAAGAAUGACAUAAACAAAAAUAUUUUGGUAUUAAAAUAUUAACGAAAAAUAAUAAAUUAUAUGGUAUUAUUAGUAAAGUAAGGAACUAAAAAUUAUUGAAGUUUUUGUGGAAUAAACUCAUACGGAAUAAUAUGUCAAAAAAAUUAAUUGAACUUAACAAUUGUUUUUUAUUAGCUAUAAGAAUGAAAUUAAUAAAGAUAUAUAUUUUAGAGAUAUAUUAACCUUAUACAAAAUCAUCAUUAUCAAACUUUCAUCUUGCAUUAAGUCUAUAAUGAUAUUAUACUCAAAACAGAUUAAUCAUACUAAAAACCACAACAUAAUCUAUUAAUCCAAACUUCUUAAAAAUGAUGUUCUUCUCAUAUUGAAUAUAUAGUUUUUAUUGAAGUUAAUAGUAACUCAUCAUGAUUAAAAAACAUGUUGUUUAGAGUUAAUUUUGUUUGAUAGACAAUUAUAUCAUCUAACUAUAUUACUUUAUUGUGUAAUUCCACUAUAUUGAUAUAAGUCUCAAUUUGAUGUACGGGAAAAGAUAGAAAAGAAAGAAAUGGGAGGAGUACAUUUGUUUAGUUAAUUAAAAAAGCUAAAUAAAUAUGUUUAAAAAAUUGUGAAACUGUGAAGUAUAUGAUAAGAAAAUCUGAACUUGUAAAUAUUUAUAACUAAAGUCUGCAAAAAGUAUAAAUAUUUUAAUUAUUUAUUUGUUAAAAGAGUGAAUAUGGAUAUCAUGCUAUUUAGUUAGCGAAUGUUCACUGUCCAUUAUUAAUUAUUUUUAUUUGAAUAUAUUUUUUAAUUAAGCAAUUGAGUAAAAUUAUUAACGAGAAAACAUUAAAAAUUGAUGAAUUAUUUAUAACUUAAUUUUAUAAAUGUAUAGUUUUUAUUUAGACUUGUGGAGCUAAAAUUAUCUUCAAAAGAUUAAUUUUAUUUAAAGUUAUAUUGUGAAGAAUUUUUUUAGAAUGAUUAAUUUUUUUCUAAUAAUAGCUUAUGAAACAUUUUUAUUAUAAUUAUACAUUAAUAUCAAUAUUUUAUCUUAUUUUAUUUUAUGUUUUAAAGAAUAAUUUUUAAAUAAUAUUAUUUUCUUAAAAGAAGGAUCCACGUGUAUCUAUUGAAAUAGGCAAGUAUUUUAAAUAACAUUAUAUUUUUUUAGUAGAAAUACUUCUUCAUAAGAUUUAUUUAUAAAUAACAAGUCACUUUAGAUAUGGUUAUCUCCUACUUCCAUAUCAAUGUAGACUCUUAUAUGUGUGACGUCAUUUAUUAUGAACUUGAAAUGUACUAUCUUAAGUGUAUCCUAUAGAAAACACCAUCACAUUCAAGUCAAAUAAUAUAAAAAUUAAGUAAUAAAUGAAUAAUACAUAUUUUGAGAUCUUCACCAUUAACUUUUAUUUAUAUCGAGUAUCGGUGGUUAAAUAUGACUUUAGUAUUGAGUUAAGAUUUUAAUAAUAAAAAUAUAGUGUAAGGGAAAAUAAUGUUAAUAUUUUAAUACUUUUGCGUGUUGAAAGAAAGAAAACAAAUCUAAAAAUAACUAUAGUUUAAACUUCGUUAAUUUUAAUAAAAAGCAUCUUCAAAACCGUAUUUAGUAGUAUAUAUAAUUGUAUUAUUUCCAGUUAUUUAUUUUAUUUUGUAGAUGCUUUCUAAAUUUAAAGGAAGAACCCAGACUUUAACCAAAACAUAUUUCUAUCCAAAAUAAAUGUAUGGUUAUGGGAAAAAAUAGCCUACAAUUGAUCAUACAAUCCAUUCAUUAAAUAAUGGAGUACAAUACAAUGUGCUAUAAUGAACCCAACAACGUCUUGUUCUAGGUUUUGUAUAUUCAGUCAUUGAUUUCUAAAUUUUUAUAUGAAUGUUUACAAUAAUAUUUCAAGGUCAAGUUAGUACUUCCUCCGAAUAAAGAAUAUAAAGUAAAAAAAGUUAAGAAUUCAUUAAUUAAUACUUAGUUUGAAGAAAAAACAUAUAAUAAAAAGUUAUAUAUUUAUUAUUUUCAAUUCACCUAUUUAUAACGGUAUUCUUCUAGUUAAGAAGAAUGUCUUCCAACUAAAGAUUUAGUUUAGUCAAAAAUAGUUAUUUCCAACUAAAUUGUAGUUCUGUCUCAUACCAUCAUCUUCCUCUUUUAUUUAAUAAUUAUUUCUCUAUUAUAGUAUUUGUCUCAUUCUUAGAUACAUUCUUAGAUUAAUUACAAUCUCGCAUAUUCAGUUAAUGUUUGUCACUUUCAAUAAAAAAAAUAAAAAAAAAUUUCAUUAUUUUAAUAAAUAGAUCAAUAUCAUAACCGUUUUCAUCUAUUAUUGGAAUCGACUUAUGAUCUCACAGUUCUCAAAUUCCAACAUAAUCCAAUGAGACUAAUAAGAUCAUGAAGUAAUUAAUUAUAGGAUGUAUCUUAAAUUUUGACUGAAAUCCAUACCAUUGAGGUUGAUGCAAAAGUUCACAUAUACUAUUAUACCUCAUCUAUAGAAAUGAUUAAUUGAGAUCCAAAUAGACUUAGAUGCGCUUAAUCAUAAUUUAUAUAUUGUUUACUUUACUCUACUUAUUAAUUAUAUUAUUACACCCUUAAUUUCACUUUAGAGAUACUUGCAUCAUUCAGUGGUGAGAUGUUGGGAUAUCGAGUGUGAUAUCGACACCUCAUAUAUUCCGGUACAAUGCAUUUGAGGAAAAUAAAAACCGAUCAUAUGUAUAAUUUUUUGUUUUCUUCCAUGCUUGGUUGUCACUUAGGUCAAUUCAGCACGAACCAACAUACUCCAUUUCAUCUUCUCAUAAAUCGAAGACAAUAAUUCCAGGAAAUGAAAAUGGGGUAUGUUAAUAAAGAAAAAAAAUAAGAGAAAAUUGCACAUAAAUAAAAUUCAAUUGAGUUCUUAAAUUACAAUGAUAUUGAAAAGAGUAGAAAUAUAUAGUUAAUUUGGUGAAUAAACAAAGUAGGUUGGAAAAAUGCGAUGAAAGCAUGAUAAGAUAGUUGUGGUUGUCUGUGGAAAUGCGAAACCCCUCUUUCUUGUUUUGUUUUGCACAUAUUUUACAAGCAAAUCCGACAAACAGAAAGAAUUGCAUAAGUCCAAACCUACUGGUAUUAUUUAGACGUUAAUAAUUGCCAGCUUUUGCCAGCUCCUACUUCAUCAUUAAAAUAUAAUUUAAAAAAAUAGACACAGAAACAGUAGUGAAGACUUUGCUCCUCAGUCCCAAAAAAUGACAACGGGAUACACUGGAUUUCCACACUUUCUCACAUGCUCGUCUUUUUCAUUUUCUGCCACGUGUAUUGUAAUGUAGCAAGGUCCCUCUGGUUCCAGCUGCGCAAACCUCACUCUCUUCCUUCAUCAUCAUCAUCAUCAUCAUCUUCUACCACUACAGCCACAAUAAACAUGCAUACCGUAUUUUUUCUUUUCAAAUAUUAUACGUAUACUUUUUGAUAUUUUAUUUCCGUUUGAGUUGAGUAGUUGUUCUCCAUUUGCAACGGUUACCUAAUAUUAUUCUCUGUUUCCAUCUACCCCAUUAUCAACUACGUAUUGCAUAUAAAACAUUAGCGAUAAUGAAAGAAAGGGUCAUGUAUCUGCUUUCUCAAUCAUUAAUGCAAAAUUACCGAAUUUAAUGAUGUUACCAUUACGAAUGGAGAAAGGGUCAAACCAAAAAUAAAAAGUGCACCUUUUCAACUGGCGGACAAAGGACGAGACACGAGUGGCAUCAACGCGGGUAAAGCACCCCGCGUUUUACUACCAGACGGAACCCAUCAACGGGCUAUAAAGGACACACGUGUGAGUUCUAGAUCAACGGUCAAAACACAAGGGCACUCUAGUAAUAUCGUUAAACGACUUUAUGAGUUGUUGAAAAGUUAUGGUCUUUCCGAGGAAAGAAAAAGUAAAAAAUAAUAAUAAAAAUGGAUUUUUUUUCAUUAUUUUCAUAGUACACAUUUUGUUUUCAUUAAUGGAAUUUUAAAUUGUAUUAUUUUUUGUUGUUAGAACAAACAGAGGGCUAGAGUGAAAAUAAAUUUAACGGGGAGAGGAGAGAGAGUGGGAAGCAUAUGAGAAUAGGAAGAUGGGUGGAAAAAACGCCGUACAGAGGGGUGGCGGAUGACAGCGACUGCUCACUGACCCACAUAACUGACACGUGUCCUGACGCAAAAGGGUGUGGAGGUAAUAUUGAGCAAGCAUAAUGGAGAAAAAGGCAAAGAAGGAACACACAUUAACAAAAAUCAAUUGGGCAGAAGAUCCACAUAUGCCAGCUAAUAUUUUGCACAUUUACAGAAAGAGAGGAAAAAUUGUAGUAGAGGCGGAAGAAAGUUGAAAUGAAGAUAAAAUAAAAAAAAAGAAUAAAGAAUAAAAAAGUGGGAAUGGAGAGUUAAGUGUUGACCCAUUAUUAUUACUCACAUCACACCGGCCUGACCUAGUCCAGGGUAUUAGGGAAGAUGAGGAAUGGGGACAGGCAGCAUAGAAGGAGUAGAUGCACAUCACAACAUAUAAAAAUAUUAAUAUAUAUAGUAAGGUUGGGAAAAUAAUGAGAUAAAAAAAAUUGUGUGUGAGCAUAUAGAAGGAAAUUAAAUUAGGACAUUGGAGUUGGAGGAAUCUUUGAGCAUUAUUGAUGCAUUAAUCGCCACUCCUUCAACGGUUCAUAUCUUACCUCUUUUUAUAUAUUCUGUUCCCUUAUCAUCUUCCACUGCUCAACUCUCUCUCUCUCUCUCUCUAACACAAGCUUCCGUUUUUCUGUUUCUCUUCUCUCUACUCAGAACAUGGGUUCUUCUGCAGUACAAUUGUUUCUCAUCUUGGGGCUUCUGGCUACUUCUUGCAUAGCACAAGCCCCAGGUGGCGCACCCACGCAGCCUCCCACAACCACCCCACCACCACCGCCCGCAGCAGCACCAGUACCUGCACCCACUGCACCCGCAACUCCACCACCAUCUUCACCACCACCUGCACCCACACCCGCACCCACACCAACUGCUCCCACUCCUGCUCCAGCUUCUUCUCCUUCAUCUGCUGCAUCUCCCUCAGCUGAGUCACCAGGCUCUCCUACAUCUCCCCCAGCACCACCGGCCCCCUCAUCUGCACCUUCACCCUCAGUCAGCGAACCACCACCCUCACCCUCCUCCGCAUUCUCCGUUGGCAAGGCCUUCGUUGCCGGGUCUGCGCUCGCGGGAACCUUCGUAGCCAUGGUCUUGGCUUGAAGACAGACCUGACGGUUGGGAUUCGUCCACGUGGAGGCUCUUGGGCCCUUGAUCUUGUUUUACAGCGACGGACGGACGGACGGGAUCUGUUUCAUUUAUUUUAUCCUCUGGUCUUGUUGAGUAGCGGUUUUCUUUUUCUCUCUUUGGGGUUUUAUGUGUUAGUUUUGUUCGUUCGUGGUUGAUGUGUUUGUUGAUUCGAUAUCUGGGAGGGUUGGGUGUUGAUGAUGAUGAUGAUGAUGAUGAUGAUGGUGAUGGUAUUCAUGAUUAUGAUGAUUAUUUUGUGAUUCAUUGUUCUGGUGUUCACACGUGUACGUAGAUGACCUUGAUGAUUUCAUUGUACAUCUAAUAAUUGAAAGAAUAAAACAGUUUGUCAUU